GGCUGGUCUGAAGGUGGUGAGUUAUUUAAAGUGAUUGUUUACAGUCAGUUACAAAUUGAACUCCUUGUUCUACUCUUUCCCCUCAUCUUACGACCGCACUUGACUAGCUGAA
rnacentral:Y_RNA from 1 species